rnacentral:rRNA from 1 species
UACGUAGGGGGCAAGCGUUGUCCGGAUUUAUUGGGCGUAAAGAGCUCGUAGGUGGUUUGUCGCGUUGUUCGUGAAAACUCACAACUCAAUUGUGGGCGUGCGGGCGAUACGGGCAGACUGGAGUACUGCAGGGGAGACUGGAAUUCCUGGUGUAGCGGUGGAAUGCGCAGAUAUCAGGAGGAACACCGGUGGCGAAGGCGGGUCUCUGGGCAGUAACUGACGCUGAGGAGCGAAAGCGUGGGGAGCGAACGGG